GGUGAUAUGAUGCAGUUCGGUAC
rnacentral:siRNA from 1 species